rnacentral:misc_RNA from 1 species
GUGAAUCAUCGAAUUUUUGAACGCAAAUUGCACUCCCUGGUAUUCCGGGGAGUAUGCCUGUUUGAGGGUCGUUAGAAUAAAAAAUCGAGGCGUCGCUCUUUUUUUUAUGGGUGAUCGAGUCGGAAUUGAGCCGUUUUUCAAAUGUUAAUUCAUGUCAAAGUGGCUUAAACUUCAUCCAUCCGGUACGAUUAAAGCGUAUUUAAGAUCAAUUUUGAUUAAGAACGCGCGAUGCUGUACACUUUUAAGUAGUACGUU